rnacentral:rRNA from 1 species
GAUGAACGCUGGCGGCGUGCCUAAUACAUGCAAGUCGAGCGAACAGACGAGGAGCUUGCUCCUCUGACGUUAGCGGCGGACGGGUGAGUAACACGUGUAUAACCUACCUAUAAGACUGGGAUAACUUCGGGAAACCGGAGCUAAUACCGGAUAAUCUAUUGAACCGCAUUGUUCAAUAGUGGAAGACGGUUUUGCUGUCACUUAUAGAUGGAUCCGCGCCGCAUUAGCUAGUUGGUAAGGUAACGGCUUACCAAGGCAACGAUGCGUAGCCGACCUGAGAGGGUGGUCGGCCACACUGGAACUGAGACACGGUCCAGACCACUACGGGAGGCAGCAGUAGGGAAUCUUCCGCAAUGGGCGGAAGCCUGACGGAGCAACGCCGCGUGAGUGAUGAAGGUCUUCGGAUCGUAAUACUCUGUUAUUAGGGAAGAACAAAUGUGUAAGUAACUAUGCACGUCUUGACGGUACCUAAUCAGAAAGCCACGGCUAACUACGUG